AUGCAACGGCGCGAUCAACAACCCCACCUCCGUCCCUCAACUGCUCCGACCAUCUUCGUCUAUACUCCGCUCAUCAUCUUCCCUCCUGAUUCUUCUUUUUUGCAUCUUCAUCUGCGAUUCGGUUUCGCUUCCCUUGACUCCUCACAUUUUCAGCUGCAAAAAACUUCUGAUCAUCACAGUUCAUGCUCUUCACAUCGUGUUCCCUUUCGAUGGUGUCCGCUUGUUUCAAAGCCAUCGCGAUUUCGCACUUCAAAUCACACAGAGAAUACAUAA